rnacentral:rRNA from 1 species
GGUCCCGCCUGCCCUGUGACUGUAAGUUUAACGGCCGCGGUAUUUUGACCGUGCGAAGGUAGCGCAAUCACUUGUCCUUUAAAUGAAGACCAGUAUGAAUGGCAUAACGAGGGCUUAGCUGUCUCCUCUUUCAAGUCAAUGAAAUUGAUCUCCCCGUGCAGAAGCGGGGAUACAGACAUAAGACGAGAAGACCCUGUGGAGCUUUAGACGCAAAGACAGCUCACGUUAAACACCCCCUAACAAAGGGCCAAACCCAAUGAACCCUGCUCUGAUGUCUUUGGUUGGGGCGACCGCGGGGCAAUAAAAAACCCCCACGUGGAAUGAGAGUUACCCUCCUACAACUAAGAGCUACAGCUCUAAUUAACAGAAUUUCUGACCGUAAGAUCCGGCCUUGCGCCGAUCAACGAACCCAGUUACCCCAGGGAUAACAGCGCAAUCCCCUUUCAGAGUCCAUAUCGACAAGGGGGUUUACGACCUCGAUGUUGGAUCAGGACAUCCUAAUGGUGCAGCCGCUAUUAAGGGUUCGUUUGUUCAACGAUUAAAGUCCUACGUGAUC